ensembl:lincRNA
CAACGUCCCCCACCCCGAUCCCCCACCGUCACCCAGCCCACCCCGCCAACGCCCCCACCGGGUCCCCGGGGCCCCGGCGGGUAAUUACCUCUCUCGGAGGCGGAGCGGGGGGCGGCAGCGGCAGCAGCAGCGGCAGACACUUUUAAUCUGACUUUCCGGCGUUCGCUGGUGAGCCUGUGAGCGCUGAGCAGGAGCAGUAACCUGCUAUUUAUAGACCGGAGCCUCAGCACCCGGGGCUGGGAACCGGGAGGAAGCGAGCCGGAGGCGCGGCGGCGGCGCAGGGCGCAGGGCGCGGGCGGCGGCUCCCGAGGCUCCCGCGCCUCCCUCGGGCUCCCGGUCCCCCCGCGCUCCCAGCUCCCUCACCGGCCGCGCGCGCCCGGGAGAAGUUAUCGCCGGCGCGGCCGCCUCUCCGGCGGCUCACACGCCCCCUGGCACAACCGCUACUUUCUGCCCCCCGCCCCACCCCUCCCUGCACCUCCUCCUCCUCCUCCUCCUCGGCCCUUUCCCAGCGGUCUCCUCCCAAUGUCACCGGCGGCCGAAUAGAGGCAGCGACGGCAACCACAGCGGCGAAACUGGCGCAGCUCGCUUCCCGCUACCGACGGAGUGGAGUUGGUGACCCGGCCGCCCAAUCCACAACGACUCCGACACGCGUGCUCCGUGGGAGGCCUCCCCGCUCCCCGACCUUCUGCCGGGCCCCUCUGCUAGCGGGGAUGGUCCCCAGGCUGCGCUGCUGGGUUCGCCGCUGCGGAGCGCUUUAGGGAGCAGUGACCCGAGGCCGGCACACUGCUCCUGGGGCCACCGAAGCCGCAGGGUUUUUAAGCCGCGGGAGGAGGCGUCCCGGAUCCUGGCUCAGACCCAGGAUCGUGGGGUCGGGAGAGAGUGGGAGGAGGUGUCCCCUGUUCCCCAGACUUCUGCCUGCCACCGCCCUGGGACCCCCGUCUCUCGCCACUCCUCCGCCGUGGCCCAGGAUGAAGUCGAGGGGAGGAGACCUGAGCACCGGCGAGGCUUCCAACUCAGCUCGGUCCCCCGCCACCCACCAACAGCCCCCACGUCGCGGCUCGGUGACUGGGGCCGAGCCGCUCCCAACAAGCAUGUGACAUGCCUUGAGCAGCCCGGGCGCUUGGGGCCAGAUCUACACUCAGCGUUGUUUGGGGUGUCGGGAAAACAGGGUGCCACCUGGCGGUUUUCUUGGAGAGGUUUCCACUCAGCGGCUCAAAGGUAAUGAGGGUGUCAGGAAGGCGAGGGCCAGUCCAGACAGGCACCCUCAAGCCUUUCCCCUCCCAACCAGCACUUUAAAUUUACAUUUUAAAAAAGAAGUGAGAAUGCUCAUACGGCUUACAGUUUGUUCCGCAGAGACCGGACUCCCCAAGUUGGGAUGGAGAAGUCGAUUUGGGUAAGUCAGGACUCAACAGUCACACAAAGCCGGAAGCUGGAGCUGCCCCCAGCUGCCACCUCUGCUGUCACUCCCUGUGUCUAGGCGUCCCUUCGCUCCGCAAGCACUGAACUGCCUCUAGAGUCGAAGCUCUGCCUAUGAGAGCAGAGACUUGGGUGUUUGGUUUUGUGUUUUCUUCCCCCACCCCCCAACCCCAAUCACUCUUCCUCAGAACUUGGAACCACGCUUAACGUGCAGUUGCUUCCAUAUAUGUUUACAGAAUGAAUUAAUAAACAUUAUGGACCAGAAACUGUGCUUGGCCCAUUCUCACCCUGCAGCCCUUCCCCUUCUUUCUCUUCAAGCUCUUUCUGCUACACUCAGCUACCAUCACAGGUGAGGUGGAUGGAGAGAAGCCGAAACAAAAUAGGCAAGCAAUCCAUGCAGGCCCUGGAGGAUAUGGAUCAUACCUGAGGAGUCCGUUACACAGUGAAAUUUCCCCUUCAUGUGGUGGUACAGAACACACUCCUCUCAAGAAAUGAAAAGAAAAAAAAAACAAAACUGUCAUACUUGGGACUUGAUGCAAUGGAUAAAUCCUGUUUGUAGAGAUCUACUGGCAAGAUGAGGCAACUUUAUCACUGGGCAAGAGUUUCAGCCUUUUUUUAUUAAAAAAAAAAAUACAGAAAUAGCGAAAGAAUAUCAGAACAUCAG